GUGUCUCAGUGGAACAAGGCAGUGAGGUCUCAUCAACUUCCACCAUGUUGUCACAGGGGUAUAGGAUACUGGAAUACCCUGGAGCCCCUCUUCCAAAAGCUUGUGUGGCUUUUGAGCCAUGGACUGAUUGGAUUCUGAUCAUCUGUCUUUGGUUUUGAAGUUCCUAAUUCCCAGGCGUGCGUUUUCCUACUACUGCUCCUGUGUCUGUAAAAUGGCAUGGCCCAUGGGAACUACAUCACAGGCUUCAAGGGGACCAAGACUGAAGAGGUGGUGGGAGAUACCUCUCUUAACUUCAGACCUUUGGAGGCCUAAGUGUGAUCACUGGAGUCUCAGGAGAGGAGACGGGACUUUUGUUGCACCCUUAAAUCAUAACCCAAGCCAGAUUAUGGGACUGGUCACAAUUUGGAGGGUGCAGCAUCUCUGCAAUGACUUACACAUGGAGUUUGGCCAUCCAGAACACCUCAGUGUUAGCAUUUGGGUGUUAUGUGACAUAGAUUUAAGUGUCUUGCUCGUUGCUGAGACUUGUGAGAGGUGGGGUGGCAGUCCCAGCAGGGCUGCUGUUAUUCUGUCCUUCUUGGUGUGUGGUGUCUCAUUUGAGCCUCUCAUCACCUGCAUUACCAGCACGCUUCCUCGCCAGUCCCUGCCAGAGAGGCUGCACCGGCUUGAUGCCAAGACCCCACCAAAGUACAAAAGUUCGUUCAAAGUCCAAGGCACAUUGCAGCUGGCUCUCCAGCAGACAACACCCUGGGCUAGUGGAGGAACUGGCUGUAGCCUCCAUCCUCAGCCCUGGCUGCUCCGGCUCCAGUGGGUGCCAGAUGGCCUCGGGCUGGGCUGCCUGAGCUCACUGCCUGACCUCACCAGGGCGGUGGUCUCAGCAGUGACCCCAGCACAGGCACAGCGCGUGGGCCGCUCUCUGACCACCCCAGCAGGGCUGGGGGCCGGUCACCACCACGCUGGGGGCUGUGCCUGGGACGGGAAU